ACAACCUCAGGUCAGGCGUAAUUACCCGCUAAUUUUAAGCAAACCAAUAAGUGGAGGAAAAAAACCUUACCAAGAUUCCCCUAGUAACGACGAGCAAACCAGGAAGAGCCUAGCUUGAGAAUCAGGUGCCCCUAGCAUGUAAAUUAUAGUCUAGUGAAGCAUCCUCAAUGGUGGACCGAGCCCAACUCUUCUUGAAAGAGGCACUAGAGAGGGUUAAAUCCUCGUUGUGUGUAGACCCUGUCGCAUUAUAAGAGGCUAUCUAUAAGUCAAGUUAUUUAUGAUGCAGCCCUAAUCGAGCAGUAAGUUCCAUCCUAGGCUGAAUAUGGGCGAGAGACCAAUAACGAACAAGUACCAUAAGGGAAAGAUGAAAAGAACUUGAAAAGAAAGUCAAAGAGUGUUUGAAAUUGUCAAGAGAGAAGUAAAAAGGGGCUGAUGAUACGUCCCAUUCGGAUAUGAAUGGCGAGAGCCAGUCCGUCAAUCAAUUCAAGGCAUGGAUCGAUGCAGGUCAUGGCUGUGGCCUAAGCCUGGGUUUUUGAUAUGCCCAUGGAGACAUCAUCUCCAUGAUGGUGGAAUGCAACACGCGUCAUCUUGGCAUGCCUUGGCACAAGCAUGCUCCUAACAUCAGCUUGCGGGCUCCCCAUCUAGCCCAUCUUGAAACACGAACUAAGAAGUCUAACAUGUAUGUGAGUCAAUAGGCUAGAAAACCCAUAAGACACAAAGAAGCUGAUUGGCAAGAUCCCUCAUAGGUGCAUCAUUGAUCGACCUUGAUCUUUUGAGAAGGAUUCGAGAGUGAGCAUGCCUGCUAAGUCCCAAAAAAUGGUGAACUAUUCAUCAGUAAGGUGAAGCCAGAGAAAACUCUAGUGGAGGCCUGUAGCAAUACUGACAUGCAAAUCAUUCAUCUAACUUGGGUAUAAAGGUGAAAGACUAAUUGAACCACCUAAUAGCUAGUUCCCUCCAAAGUUUCCCUUAAGAUAGCUAGAACCUUUAGCGAGUGCUAUCGAGUAAAGCUAAUGAUUAGAGGCAUCGGGGAUGCAAUGCCAUUGACCUAUUCUCAAACUUUAAAUAGGUAGGAUAGCAUGGCUGCUUCAUUGAGCCAUGCUAUGGAAUUAAGAGCUCUAAGUGAGCCAUUUUUGGUAAGUAGAAUUGGCAAUGUGGGAUGAACUAGAAGCUGGGUUAUAGUGCCCAACUAUGCACUAACCUAGAACCCACAAAAGGUGUUGUUCGCUUAAGACAAUAGGAUGGUGGUCAUGGAAGUCAAAAUCCACUCAAGAAUGUGGAGCAACUCACUUGCUGAAUCAAAUAGCCCUGAAAUGGAUGGUGCUUAAGCACGUGACCUACCCAGCCAUCGAGGCAAAGGCUAGGCCCUAAUGAGUAGGAGAAUGUGGCAAUCGCCACAAAACCUAAGGCAUGAGCUUGGACGGAGUGGCCAUUGGUGCAAAUCUUGUCAAUAGUAGCAAAUAUUCAAAUAAAAACUUUGAAAGCUUAAGAAAGGAAAGGUUCCAUGUUAAUGGCACUUGCACAUGGAUUAGUCGAUCAUAAGAGACGGGGGAAACCAAUCAGAUAGCGUAUAUGGCACGAGGUUUAAAAGGGAAUCAAGCUAAAAUUCUUGAACUGAGAUAUGAUGACUGAUAGCAAUGUUAGAGAGUUCAGAGAUGUCAAUGGGAGCUUCAAAAAAAGUUUUCUUUUCUGUUUAAUGACCUACCCACCAUGUAACAGCUUAGCCAGAGGUAAGGUCUAGUGGCCAGAAGAGCACCGCAUGUCAUGUGGUGUUUGGUGCACCCCUUACGACCCUUGAAAAUUUAAAGGACUGAGUGUUAUCUGUGCCCAAUUGUUCUCAUAACUGCAUCAGGUCUCCAAAGUGAACAGCCUCUAGUCGAUGGAACAAUGUAGGCAAAGAAAGUCAAAAAAAUGGAUCCAUAACCUUGGGAAAAGGAUUGGCUCUAAGGGCUGGGGAUGGGGGGGCCUAGUCCCAAACCUAUCAGCUACCGGUGCAUUGCUUGAGCUCCUCCCAAGGUGAGAGCAGGUCAUUACAUGCCGGUGGAGGGAUGGACUGGGAACAGCUCCCUCGAGGGCCUUCCCUGAGGGAUAAAUAAUCGAUUCAAAAUUGGUACAGAUAAGGGGAAUCUAACUAUUUAACUAAAACAAACUAUUGCGAUGGUCUCUGUGGAUGCUCAACAAUACGAUUUCUGCCAGUGCUCUGAAUGUCAAAGUGAAAAAAUUCAACCAAGUGCGAGUAAACGAUGAGAGUAACUAUGACUCUUUUAAGGUAGCCAAAUACCUCGUCAUCUAAUUAGUGACACUCAUGAAUGGAUUAAUGAAAUUCCCACUAUCUUUGUCUACUUCCCAGUGAAACCAUAGCUAAAAGAAUAGACUUGGUAGAAUCAACAGGGAAAGAAGACCCUAUUGAGUUUGACUUUAGUCUAACUUUGUGAAAUGACUUGAGAGGUGUAGGAUAAGUGGGAGCCCUCAAGCGAAAUUGAAAUACGACUACUUUUAACGUUAUUUUACUUAUUCUUUGAAUCAAAAAAGAGGCACGACCUCUUCUUUUAGACCCAAGACUAGCCUCGGCCAGUUGAUCCUAGUGGAAAACAUUGUCAGGUAGAAAGGUUAGCUAAGGUGGCAUAUCUAUUAAAAGAUAAUGCAGGUGUCCUAAGAUGAAAUCAAUAAGAAUAAAAAUCUCAUGUGAAACAAAAGGGUAAAAGCUCAUUUGAUUUUGAUUUUCAAUAUGAAUAUGAAUGGUGAAAACAUGACUUAUCGAUCUUUAGAUCUUUAGAUUUGAAGCUAGAGGUGUUAGAAAAGUUACCAUAGGGAUAACUGGCUUGUGGUAGCCAAGUGUUCAUAAUGACAUUGUUUUUUUAUCCUUUGAUAUCAACUCUUCCUAUCAUUACGAAGCAAAAUUCACCAAGUGUUGAAUUGUUCACCUUUCAAUAGGAAACGUGAGCUGGGUUUAGAUCAUCAUGAGAUAGGUUAGUUUUACCCUAUUGAUAGCAGCGUUACAAUAGUAAUUCAACCUAGUAUGAGGGGAACCGUUGAUUCGCACAUUUGGUCAUCAUGCUUGGUUAAAAAGCCUAUGGUAUGAAACUACUGUGCACUAGAUUAUGACUAAAUGCCUCAAAGUUAGAAUCCAUACUAGAAGUGACACUCAAGUCCAUUCCCCGAUUAUUGACCCAUAGUAAGGGCCCAUGGCCCCCAAGGGCAUGUAUCAUAAGUGCAGCCCCUGUGGUGGACAACUUGUGCAGGCCUUCUUAAAGCUCAAUUCCCAUCGAG
rnacentral:rRNA from 1 species